GAGACUGAGUCAGUUUGUGGAACUUAGAGGAGAACAGAAUAACAGACAGAAAGUGGAAGACAGAGUAAUUAUGAUCAGAGCAUCAAAACACAUGGCACAUGAUGACCACAGUGAUGGAUAUUCUAAGGAUGUUAACCGUGGAGCCUUCCUUCGUAAACUAUUCACAGUGGGAUCAACACCUACAAACAAUACAAUUAAUGGUCAACACCUUUUUUUCCUCCUGUAAUCUAGUGUAGAUUAUUACCUGUGAUUACAUCUGAGACUGGCUAACCAGGAGGUUAGUGUGACCCUGCAAACUUUGAGGUGGGAUUCUCCACCCAGGGAGGCCCUGGGAUUCGUGCAGCUCCACCUCCCAGUGGCAUUGAGGAGGAUGACGAUGGGUUUAUUGAAGACAACUAUAUUCAAGCGGGUGAGAGUGAGAGAGCCACAAGAGCAGCAGUGCUGACUGAUGAUGAUGAGGAGGAGGAAGAGAUUGAAUGUAGUAUUGGCUAGCACUAUUACAUCUAACUUUGUUAAACCUUAUUUAUAAUAACUUGCAUUAAGUAGUUAUUAACAAACAUUCAAUACUUCAUAAUCAGUUAUCAAACUAUUCAUUGAUUAAUUAAUUAAAAAAAGAAUAUACAGUGGCCCUAUUAAGGAAUUUCAACACUUAAGCUUAAAAAAAAAAAAAAAAAAAAAAACUAUGUCCAAAAAGUUUCUAGGACAACUUUUUUGAAAGCAUCUGAAAAUAUAUGAAUCAAAGUUGAAUGACAUUUGAAUGUACAAUAGGCCACACGAAAUAAUGAUCUGUUCAGCAUUUUAUACAAUGUUUGUUGACAUUAAUAAUAAUUUAUUAGGCUAUAGAAUAAUAAGUUAUUAUAGAACUUUAUUUUAAAUGAUAAUAUUAUUAAUAAUUAAUUUUUAAGGAUUUUUCCUACCAGAAUGUGCAUUUACAUUUACUUUUAAUUGCAUUUUGUACCAUAUACUAUAUUUUGUGUUUUGUAUGUUGUACUUUUUUUUUUUUUGAGAAAAUGUUAUUAUUUCAUUGGCCACUGGGCGCCGCCUUUGUGUACUUUAUUACUUAGCCUAGAUUUAAAUAUUAAAAUGUUAUUAUUGAUAUUAUUAUAUAUUUUUGUUAUUGUUUAUAAAUGUUAUAUAAUAUAAAACAAAUUAAACAUUACAUGCAUCCACGUCAUCUUAAACGAAUGCCGUGUUAGUGUAUUUUUUUUUGUAUCUAACGUUACUAUUUAAUAAAGGAUUGUUACACUACA
ensembl:lncRNA